GUGCUGGCUUCGGCAGCACAUAUACUAAAAUUGAAAUGAUACAGAGAAGAUUAGCAUGGCCCCUGCACAAGGAUGACAUGCAAAUUUGUGAAGCGUUCCAUAUUUUU
ensembl:snRNA U6 U6 spliceosomal RNA